AAGUUCAAAGUGUGCUGCUCAACUAGCCCAGAAAAGAAGAGACAUGUCACUGAAUGUGUGCUUUGUUCAGCUUUGAAUUGCAUCUGGGAAAUUAAAGACAUUCAAACUUGAAAGGAAUUGCAGUGCAAAUGCAUUAGCAUCAAGACUUAUUUGCAUCUAGAUACAUAUUCUGAUUGCAUCUUUUAUAGACGUUUAAUCCAAGCAUCAAGAAGUAAUAAUAGACCAUGUGAGAUUUAUGAAGUCAAGUAUGUUUGUGCCUGCAUUUUACAUAGAGAAGGACCCAAGCAGAGAGUCUGCAAAUGGCAUAACAGAGGUGUCUGAAAAAAGCUGUGUUCCCGUGACUGCCAGAAGACCACAGUGUCCAGCUCUUGAAAAAUGUAUAGACUACCAACUUGGACAUGCUGGAUGUCACCGAAAUCAGGAAGGCUCAGCUAAGGGGAUUCCUCUUCAGCUCAUUUCUGCAACCACUCUCAUUUUAUGUGCCUUUGUUUUUUGAUAUAACAAAU